UGGGGAAUAUUGGACAAUGGGCGAAAGCCUGAUCCAGCAAUGCCGCGUGAGUGAUGACGGCCUUAGGGUUGUAAAGCUCUUUUAGUAUGGAAGAUAAUGACGGUACAUACAGAAAAAGCCCCGGCUAACUUCGUGCCAGCAGCCGCGGUAAGACGAAGGGGGCUAGCGUUGUUCGGAAUUACUGGGCGUAAAGCGCGCGCAGGCUGUUUAGCAAGUUGAGAGUGAAAGCCCAGGGCUUAACCCUGGAAUUGCUCUCAAAACUACUAGACUAGAGUUUGGUAGAGGAUGAUGGAAUUCCUAGUGUAGAGGUGAAAUUCUUAAAUAUUAGGAGGAACACCAGAGGCGAAAGCGAUCAUCUGGGCCAAAACUGACGCUGAGGCGCGAAAGCGUGGGGAGCAAA
rnacentral:rRNA from 1 species